rnacentral:rRNA from 1 species
UUCCAGACUCCUACGGGAGGCAGCAGUGGGGAAUAUUGCACAAUGGGGGAAACCCUGAUGCAGCGACGCCGCGUGAGCGAUGAAGUAUUUCGGUAUGUAAAGCUCUAUCAGCAGGGAAGAAGAUGACGGUACCUGACUAAGAAGCCCCGGCUAACUACGUGCCAGCAGCCGCGGUAAUACGUAGGGGGCAAGCGUUAUCCGGAUUUACUGGGUGUAAAGGGAGCGUAGACGGCGAUGCAAGCCAGAUGUGAAAGCCCGGGGCUCAACCCCGGGACUGCAUUUGGAACUGUGUGGCUGGAGUGUCGGAGAGGCAGGCGGAAUUCCUAGUGUAGCGGUGAAAUGCGUAGAUAUUAGGAGGAACACCAGUGGCGAAGGCGGCCUGCUGGACGAUGACUGACGUUGAGGCUCGAAAGCGUGGGGAGCAAACAGGAUUAGAUACCCCCGUAUUA